rnacentral:rRNA from 1 species
UGCGUAGGGGGCGAGCGUUGUCCGGAGUUAUUGGGCGUAAAGCGCUUGUAGGCGGUCCACCACGUUUGGGGUGACAGUUGCCGACUUAAUCGGCAAAGUGCCUCAAAGACUGGCGGACUUGAGGGCCACAGAGGGACAUGGAACUCCAGGUGUAGUGGUGAAAUGCGUAGAUAUCUGGAAGAACACCAAAGGCGAAGGCAGUGUCCUGGGUGGUCGCUGACGCUGAGAGGCGAAAGCCAGGGGAGCGAACGGG